rnacentral:tRNA from 1 species
GGGCGAUUAGCUCAGUUGGUAGAGCGCUGUGUUCACAUCGCAGGUGUCACUGGUUCGAGUCCAGCAUCGCCCACCA